UAGGGAACCUUCCACAAUGGGCGCAAGCCUGAUGGAGCAACACCGCGUGAGUGAAGAAGGGUUUCGGCUCGUAAAGCUCUGUUGUUAAAGAAGAACACGUAUGAUAGUAACUGUUCAUACGUUGACGGUAUUUAACCAGAAAGUCGCGGCUAACUACGUCCCAG
rnacentral:rRNA from 1 species